AAGAUGAAGGCUAUGGGCCGCUUCUUUGAGGAAGGCGACAAGGUGAAGGUGACGCUGAAGUUCCGUGGCCGCGAAAUGGCCCACCAGGAACUCGGCAUGAAGCUUCUGCAGCAGGUCAAGGCCGACACACUGGAAUUUGCAAAGGUCGAAGCCGAACCGAAGCUUGAAGGCCGCCAGAUGAUGAUGGUGCUCGCGCCGAAGUGAGCGGUCCUCAUCAAUACAUCAAAGCCGUCUGUAAGGGCGGCUUUUGUGUUUUUCAGCACGCCUGAAGAAUCCUCGUCUGCCCC
rnacentral:misc_RNA from 1 species